ensembl:snoRNA LOC120094882 small nucleolar RNA SNORA70
CUGCAGCCAGAAGGAAGCCAAUCAGGUUCCCCUCCUCAUACCUCCAAUGUACAAUGGCUGCAAACAGCAACAUUUUGGGGAAUACAUGCAGCCUAUUGUUUAUGUGAACUGCCCUAGGGUACCUUCAAGACAGUU